rnacentral:rRNA from 1 species
CGUAGGGUGCGAGCGUUAAUCGGAAUUACUGGGCGUAAAGCGUGCGCAGGCGGUUUUGUAAGACAGAUGUGAAAUCCCCGGGCCCAACCUGGGACCUGCAUUUGUGACUGCAAGGCUAGAGUACGGUAGAGGGGGAUGGAAUUCCGCGUGUAGCAGUGAAAUGCGUAGAUAUGCGGAGGAACACCGAUGGCGAAGGCAAUCCCCUGGACCUGUACUGACGCUCAUGCACGAAAGCGUGGGGAGCAAACAGGAUUAGAUACCCUGGUAGUCCACGCCCUAAACGAUGUCAACUGGUUGUUGGGUCUUUACUGACUCAGUAACGAAGCUAACGCGUGAAGUUGACCGCCUGGGGAGUACGGCCGCAAGGUUG